AUUGAACGCUGGCGGCAUGCUUUACACAUGCAAGUCGAACGGUAACAGGCCGCAAGGUGCUGACGAGUGGCGAACGGGUGAGUAAUGCAUCGGAACGUGCCCAGUCGUGGGGGAUAACGCAGCGAAAGCUGCGCUAAUACCGCAUACGAUCUAUGGAUGAAAGCGGGGGACCGUAAGGCCUCGCGCGAUUGGAGCGGCCGAUGUCAGAUUAGGUAGUUGGUGGGGUAAAGGCUCACCAAGCCAACGAUCUGUAGCUGGUCUGAGAGGACGACCAGCCACACUGGGACUGAGACACUGCCCAGACUCCUACGGGAGGCAGCAGUGGGGAAUUUUGGAANAUGGGCGCAAGCCUGAUCCAGCAAUGCCGCGUGCAGGAAGAAGGCCUUCGGGUUGUAAACUGCUUUUGUACGGAACGAAACGGUUCUGGUUAAUACCUGGGGCUAAUGACGGUACCGUAAGGAUAAGCACCGGCUAACUACGUGCCAGCAGCCGCCGUAAAA
rnacentral:rRNA from 1 species